AAAACUUUUUUACUGAAAAACAGAAAUGAUGGGAGGUGUUGAAGAGCAGAUAUAAUAUAAUGACAUCUAAACACACAGACAGAGAAAAAACAGAUUCAGAAGAGAAACACACAACAUCAAAAAAAUGGAUGAAUCUCUAUAUUUCAGACUUCUUGUCAUUGCUCUCUGUUCAGUAUCUGAAUGCAGUCAGCGCCGGUAUCAUCAUAUAAACAUCAAUAUGACCUGGAUUGAUGCUCUGAUAUACUGCAGAGAAAACUACACAGAUCUGGCCACAGUCAACAACAUGAAUGACAUGAAUGAGCUGAUGAAUACA